UCGAUCAAUCUCUCGAGAAGCAGCGAAUUCUAUUACUCACCGAUCCGAAAAACGGUUGUUAAGGAUUUGAAAGCAUAUGCCCGAAGCCUCAUCAUUGUGCCUUAGAAGUGUUUACGAAAAGCCCUGUUCCUGCCGUUCGACAAAGAUACCGUGGUCGACGCGGCUGAAGAGACCCGCCAUGAGAGGAGGUUGUUGAGCCGGGAGUCGUCGAACGCAAUGAUUAGAAGAGGAUCCAAGGAUCUGGGUGAUUCAUAACUUGGGCAAGAAACCAAGUUUGUUUGGUCAACUGCACUUAGAAGGACCCCCCCAAGAAACAGAGCAGCAGAGCUCUUUUUCGAGCUGGAAAAUCACUUGCACCAACUGUUUUUCCCCCCCUCUCGUCGUCAUCAUCCAUAUCGCCUGGUUUUUGUGUCUUCGAGAGAGCAAAGGGACCCGCCAUGAGAGAAGUGCCGGUCUUUGUCCGAGCUCCUCUGGUUUUGAUGGGGGAAGAGAGAGAGAGAACUCGUAUGGUGCAACACUUCGGCGUCGUAUCCGUGGCAUGGGGAAAUAGAAAUGGAAUUCUUUUAUCCCUUACAACUACUUUGUAAUUAGCUAAAAAAAAAUUGUUUAAUCA